rnacentral:rRNA from 1 species
UACAGAGGUCCCAAGCGUUGUUCGGAUUCACUGGGCGUAAAGGGUGCGUAGGUGGUGAGGUAAGUCGGAUGUGAAAUCUCCGAGCUCAACUCGGAAACUGCAUUGGAAACUACCUUGCUCGAGGGUUGGAGGGGGGACUGGAAUGCUUGGUGUAGCAGUGAAAUGCGUAGAUAUCAAGCGGAACACCAGUGGCGAAGGCGAGUCCCUGGACAACUCCUGACACUGAGGCACGAAAGCUAGGGGAGCGAACGGG